UGAGGCAAAGGAAUCAUAUGACUUUAGAAUUAUCGCAUCAAGGAGUAAGAAAAACGAAAACUUAUCUCACAGUGGAUUGCCCAAAAUUAUCAAUCCCCCACCAUGUAAGAGGAAACAAGAGAAACAGAGAGAGGGAGAAAGAAAUAAUUAGAAACUAGCAAAUAUACUUUACAGAUUACAAAUGGACACGAUAAGUAAGUUAAGAUGAAAUAAAGGGGAAGAUAACAAGGAACGGAAUAUAAAAGAGCAUUUCGAACCGAAUGAAACAUUUUAAGCCGAAUGUAUUGAAAUCGAAAUAUUUGAAUUGAGAGAUUUUUAUUUUAUCUGACUAAUGAUGAGAAAGGAUAGAAGAGAACAAAUAGAAUAGAAAUAGAACUAAAGAUAAAAAAUAUGAGAACCAAAAUAGCAAAACAAAAAAAGCUAAAUACUAGGUAAUUAAUAAAAAAAAAUUUAAAAAAGGAUUUCUAGUAAGCGUACUACUAAAACAAGUUUAAGGAUUUGAUGAAAGAUUGUAUGUUAGAAAAAUUUUCAUCCUCUUUUUUUUUUUUUUUUUCUUCAAACUUCAUACAAACGUAAAUAUCUCUCAAAUUUUGCAAUACCGUCCUCUUCUUCCUCGUCGAUUUAGAUCCGAAAUUCUCCUUGGCAGCAGGGGACGGAAAAUGAAAUAAAGUGUUUUAGCAAUUGGGAUCGCGAAACCACCUGCUAGAAAGUGUUUAGGAAGAGAGUCGCCGUUCGAAACAUAGCGAUAACGAGUUCAAGAGCAGUAUCCGUAAAUUCAGAGGAUUAGUGAGUGCCAACACUUCUUAUAGAUUACGGAUAGUAAGCAGUAGUAGAUGAAGGAUGAUGGAUAGGUGGAUGAUCGGGGUGGGAGAAAGUAGGGAGACAGAAGGAAAAUGGAAUGUAGCUAACUGAUAAUGAAGAGAGAGAGAGAAAGAUUAUUUCGUAGAUAAAAUUUGGUGAGCUUUGACAAGAUAAGUUUUGUUGGAAAAAUUAUGAAAGUAUGCAAGAGUGUGAAGAGUAAACAAAAAAGAAAAAGAGACGUUAUAAGAGGAAGGAUGAGUUUGAUGAUCUUUUAAUAUCUAACGAACAUAAAAAACUAAUGAAUGUAAUAAUUAAUAAAUGAAGCAAACUAGCGAAUGCAACACCACCUAUUGAUUGCUUUAUUUAUUUAUUUUUUUGCUUGACAAAUACCCUUUGGAUUUACUCACUAUCCAUCUUAUCCACCGUAGGGGCCAUAGUAGACUCGCCUUUCGGCAGCCUU